UACUUCUACAUCUCAUGGGUGUCCGAGUUCGAUUUCGAUUUCAGAAGUCGAAGCUGUGUUCUGCUGAAGUUGUUGCUGCUCUGUAUCCGAAUUUAUUCAUGUUUUAAGCUAAGAGUGUUUUCAAAGGACGUUUGAGGGGCGCGUGCGGUCGUCAACUACGGCGAGGCGGUAGUACAAGUGGAUAGUCUAACUUGCUUACUGGAAAAUGGAAAUGCUUAGAUGCAGGCGUGGUGGACGUGUAGUAGCUACAGACUCAGACGAACUCAGUAAUUUUUGCUUAAAUCCUGUAUUUGUAUUAGAAAGUUUAUUAAAUAAAUAAAAAUAUUUAAUUGCGAACCCAAUGACUAAACCGAGUUAGGAAUCGGUGAUAAGAUCAGAACUCAUACUCUUUCGAAUCCUGGUUCCGCCCCUGCCUAGAUGGUAGGAGAUAUAUUAUGUCAGUGCUUUCAGCAGGACGGAUAUGAUUUCAGAUCAUUAUCCAAUGAUUAUAAAAGAUAUGCUUAGUUUAUCAGCAUUAUCAUUAUCAUAGAA